GACGAACGCUGGCGGCGUGCUUAACACAUGCAAGUCGAACGGAAAGGCCCUGCUUUUGUGGGGUGCUCGAGUGGCGAACGGGUGAGUAACACGUGAGUAACCUGCCCUUGACUUUGGGAUAACUUCAGGAAACUGGGGCUAAUACCGGAUAGGAGCUCCUGCUGCAUGGUGGGGGUUGGAAAGUUUCGGCGGUGGGGGAUGGACUCGCGGCUUAUCAGCUUGUUGGUGGGGUAGUGGCUUACCAAGGCUUUGACGGGUAGCCGGCCUGAGAGGGUGACCGGCCACAUUGGGACUGAGAUACGGCCCAGACUCCUACGGGAGGCAGCAGUGGGGAAUAUUGCACAAUGGGCGGAAGCCGGAUGCAGCAACGCCGCGUGCUGGAUGACGGCCUUCGGGUUGUAAACCGCUUUCGCCUGUGACGAAGCGUGAGUGACGGUAAUGGGUAAAGAAGCACCGGCUAACUACGUG
rnacentral:rRNA from 1 species